GUUCCGUUCCCAGUCCCUCAGGCCACCAAUGUCCAUUCCCAUCUCUAGAGCAGUGAAUCAUCAUGUCAUGAAGACGGGGAAACAACUGGGAUCAGCCCUCGUGCCCUCACCGUCUCGUCCAGCCAAUCGAACACCUUUGAACACGUUCAAGCCUGACUUCGUCCCGACCAACUCAGCUCGAGCUUCUCCCCACUUUGGAUCGUGAUGGAGCCACCUCUGGACACCUUGGCACUUUCCCCUCGUCCCAUCCACCACCACGCUCGCCCAAUCCCUUCCCAGUCGCUCCGCUCGCUCGCGCUGGACACCGUCCACGGUGCACCCUGCUCGGCUCCUUAUUGAGGCCAUCACCCGCUUCCCCACUCCACUAGCCUCCAUCCACACACCCUUACCACUCUCCUCUCUCGCACCGUGGCAUUCCAGGGCGUAGCCCCGCCUCUCCUCCCUCUCAGCCGUGGGCGAAUGUUGAGCCAGACCUUGCCUCGCAUGGCCGCUCGUCUGCAUUGACACUGCUGGCUCUCUCCAAACCUUCUCCAUUUCCUCUCGAGGUUGCUCUCUCCCCUCCAUCUAAACUCGUUCUUUUCUGUUUCCAGAAUCUCGCAGAGGCGUUGUCGCCGUUGAUCUCGGUCCACGGCACGGCUGUUGCUGUCAACGACCACCGGACCGCGUCCUCGUCUGUAGGUCCUCCGGAGGGCCUGCAGCAUGGAGAUCGGCCGCCCCCGUCCGUCGCUCCUUCUCUGCGUCGUCUCCCUCGUCCCUGAGCUGCCCGUCUUCGUUUGGUGAAGGCCGCCGCCAACGUCGCCAUGAACUCGGGCGUUGCAUGCAGCUUCUGACGGGUCCACUGCACUUCCCCGAGCUCACUCCUUCUCCUCUCACCUCUCUUCAUCUCUCAGAGCAGCGGAAGGAGGAGCCCUGCUCCCUUCUUUCCUCGCUGGCGGAGAAGACCGAGCGGUGUCGUGCAUGUCGCCGCGCACGUCGUGGCCGCGGCUGCCACCACUCCUCCACCCCUUUAUUUUUGUUCCCUUCGACGCUGAUAUCUCCCUCUAGUUGAACCGCCCCUUUUUCGUUUCCAGGAACCCGCGCCAGGAUGUCGCCUUCGUUGGAGCUCCGUCCGCCUCAACGUCGCGCUCGUCUCCGCCUAGGUCGACGUUCGGGAGCGAGCUCGCGCGACCGAGACGGCUUGAGCGUGCCGCUUCGUCCUGCGUUCGUCCUGGCGUCGUCGCCCUCGUCUCUGGGCAUCACCGCGAGCCACCCGGAGUCGCCACCGCCAACAAGCAUCCGGGAGCAUCGUCGGAGAAGCUCCCGCGUGUCCGUGUCGUCGCCUCGAGAUCGAUGGUCGCCGUUGUCCAAGUUCUGUCGUCCGUGUCGGUCUGUCCCGGCACCGCGCAUGCUCCCGUCCGCGUCGACGUCUCCAGCACGACCAAGAUGCUUCGCUUGGCCACCAUAGUCCGCCUCGCCAUCAUCUGGCAGUCCUCGUCGAGCUCCGGCAGUACCUGGUGAGCUCCCGACUCACCAUGGUCGCUUUCAGCUAGCAGGCAGAAUCACAAGUCGAUGCAUGCGCGUAGACUGUUUGCACGACUAUUAAAGCGGCCAACUUUUCUUUUUAGUAGUGGUCUUCUGGUAGCCGUUAGAUCAAGAUCCAAGUGCAGCUUACUAUUUAGCAUUUGUUGUGACGCUAACAAGUAGGGCUGGAUUCAGAGUUUAA